rnacentral:rRNA from 2 species
ACCCUGAUCCAGCCAUGCCGCGUGAGUGAUGAAGGCCCUAGGGUCGUAAAGCUCUUUCGCCUGUGAAGAUAAUGACGGUAGCAGGUAAAGAAACCCCGGCUAACUCCGUGCCAGCAGCCGCGGUAAUACGGAGGGGGUUAGCGUUGUUCGGAAUUACUGGGCGUAAAGCGCACGUAGGCGGAUCGGAAAGUUGGGGGUGAAAUCCCGGGGCUCAACCCCGGAACUGCCUCCAAAACUAUGGUCUAGAGUUCGAGAGAGGUGAGUGGAAUUCCGAGUGUAGAGGUGAAAUUCGUAGAUAUUCGGAGGAACACCAGUGGCGAAGGCGGCUCACUGGCUCGAUACUGACGCUGAGGUGCGAAAGUGUGGGGAGCAAACAGGAUUAGAUACCCUGGUAGUCCACACCGUAAACGAUGAAUGCCAGUCGUCGGGUAGCAUGCUAUUCGGUGACACACCUAACGGAUUAAGCAUUCCGCCUGGG